AGUGGCUCAUUCACCUUCUUAUGUCAGCCCCUUCGGGACGCGCUACAUAAACCCUGGAAUGACGCACAAACAGGUGCCUGCCGUCUCACUUCUGAUCAUAGCGUUGCUAUUUCAGGCCCGAGGCGAAACGUCGAGUAAGGCACCGCCUA
rfam:Escherichia vulneris NBRC 102420 DNA, contig: EV10242005.